CCUACGGGAGGCAGCAGUGAGGAAUAUUGGACAAUGGACGAGAGUCUGAACCAGCCAAGUAGCGUGAAGGAUGACUGCCCUAUGGGUUGUAAACUUCUUUUAUAAAGGAAUAAAACGAGGCACGUGUGCCUUUUUGCAUGUACUUUAUGAAUAAGGAUCGGCUAACUACGUGCCAGCAGCCGCCGUAAUACGGAGGAUCCGAGCUUUAUCCGGAUUUAUUGGGUUUAAAUGGAGGGUAGAUGGGUUGUUAAGUCAGUUGUGAAAGUUUGCGGCUCAACCGUAAAAUUGCAAUUGAUACUGGCAGUCUAGAGUACAGUUGAGGUAGGCGGAAUUCGUGGUGUAGCGGUGAAAUGCUUAGAUAUCACGAAGAACCCCGAUUGCGAAGGCAGCUUACUAAACUGUGACUGACAUUGAUGCUCGAAAGUGUGGGUAUCAAACAGGAUUAGAUACCCCAGUAGUC
rnacentral:rRNA from 1 species